CCUACGGGUGGCAGCAGUAAGGAAUAUUGGUCAAUGGACGCAAGUCUGAACCAGCCAUGCCGCGUGGAGGAUGAAGGUCCUCUGGAUUGUAAACUUCUUUUAUCGGAGAAGAAACCCUCAAAUUCUUUUGGGGUUGACGGUACCCGAUGAAUAAGCACCGGCUAACUCCGUGCCAGCAGCCGCGGUAAUACGGAGGGUGCAAGCGUUAUCCGGAUUCACUGGGUUUAAAGGGAGCGUAGGUGGGGUGGUAAGUCAGUGGUGAAAUCUCCGGGCUUAACCCGGAAACUGCCGUUGAUACUAUCAUUCUUGAAUAUUGUGGAGGUAAGCGGAAUAUGUCAUGUAGCGGUGAAAUGCUUAGAUAUGACAUAGAACACCGAUAGCGAAGGCAGCUUGCUACACAAUUAUUGACACUGAGGCUCGAAAGCGUGGGGAUCAAACAG
rnacentral:rRNA from 1 species